UCGGGUCCAAAAUAAAACACAAUUUUUGUAUAUAAUAAUUGAAUCGGAUUAAUUUCGAAAUUCACAUAACAAAUUCGGGAAGAAGCCAAGCUCUGCAGAUUAACUUAAUUAACUUUUCGUAAAAGUUUAACAGAGAGGCCAAAAAAGUGGCACCUAUUUCAAACUCAAUUAAACACGGCAUGGCCAAGCCAUGUCCCAGUCAAUUCGACCCGUUGACUAUUUGGGAAGGGAAUCGCCCUCCGUUUCCCCAAGCGCUUGAAGUGCUCCACGUGAAAGGGGUCCUUCUAGUUGAAACCUGUGUGAAAGGAUGCGCGUGUUUGCCUGUUUCCAACUGUGAAAACCUUUUGUCUGCCCUUAAGGAUUAAGCAAAUUCAAAUGGGUCAUUUAAUAUCAAAUGGAUUUCUAAACUUGAACAACGCUUUGUGUUCUUCCGGCGCUUUUGAGAUGGACUAGUAAAGGUCUUAGCUAUUUUUAGCUCUUUUGUUUUUUAAGGAGGCACAUCGUUUUGUAAUUCAAUGAACAUGUAUAACACAUAACAAUAUAAUUUAUUGUU